UACGUAGGGGGCUAGCGUUGUCCGGAAUCAUUGGGCGUAAAGAGCGUGUAGGCGGCCCGGUAAGUCCGCUGUGAAAGUCGGGGGCUCAACCCUCGAAUGCCGGUGGAUACUGUCGGGCUAGAGUGCGGAAGAGGCGAGUGGAAUUCCCGGUGUAGCGGUGAAAUGCGCAGAUAUCAGGAGGAACACCGGUGGCGAAGGCGGUUCUCUGGGCAUUACCUGACGCUGAGGAGCGAAAGUGUGGGGAGCGAACAGG
rnacentral:rRNA from 1 species